CUUUCUUUUCUUAAUCCUAUCCAAGUAUGCAGUACGCUCUUGGGUCGUCUCAUGAGACCCAGGGGCAUGUUGGAAAGAACUGAGAGAAAGAGCAACAAAGCGGCGAGUGGUGUGAGAGGGCAGCACGCGCUGUGGAUGUGGACACUAAGGCUUGACUACAGUUGCUUGCCCAAGAUAACACAGCUGCUAAACAACAGAACCAGGAUGCAAACCCAGCGUGACCUGAGCCACCACCCUAUACCAUCUCCUUAGGCGCAGCACUGUUUUGCUUCAGAUGCUUCUGGACACUCAGAAGCACACAGCAGAGUAUCAGUUAUCUGAGGCUAAAAGGCAUGCCAUAUGUUGCCUCUGCAUCCAAAAAAGUGCCAACAAUAAUGCCACACUCAGAGUGGUGCUUGAAAAAUAUCUAUUGAAUCGUAUUCACAAAUGAAAACUCUUUUCUCUAAUGAUGUAUCAUCUCACUCCACUAAGAAAUCAAGUAUGGCUCCAUAAAAUUUUAGUCAUAAGGAUAAUGUUAUUUGAACAGGAACAAGAUGGCAUUAUGAAUAAUAGAUUUCAAUCUAUUAAGCACAGAGCUACAGCAACAGUUUAACAGGAUAAUGCAAGGAUUAUUAUAAAAUUUUUAGAGAUUACUGUAAGUAGCACAUGAUCCCCUUUGCUAUCAAUAAAAACAAAACAAUGCUGAGAAAUAGGCCAUUUUGUUUAUUUGCUUUUACAUGAAAGCUGUGUGGAGUUGCGCAACUAGACUAGGGUUAGGACAGCUGAGUUCUAUUCUUGGUUCUGAAACUAAAUGGCUCUACGACUCUCAGUAAAAGACUGACCUUUUCACGCCUAAAUCUCCUCAUGGUUAAAUGUAGGGGAGGAUCAGAUGAGAUGAGUGAUAAGGUCCUUCCAACUCUAAAAUCCCAUCAUUCUGUAAUAGUGCUGCAUUAGAUUCCAAUGUUAGCGUAGUUGGAAAUGCUCACUUCACAAUUUUUUACCUUUUGCAAAAUUCCCUGUAUCAGGAGAUUCAAAACAUACUUUAUGCCAAAACUCAGAAGGGAAAGAAAUACAGCAGCCUUUUAGCUAUAAUCUGAUAUGCAGCAACUAUAGUGUAUGUGCAAGGUGAAGGAAGAGUGACAAAAUAAGACUAAGAAAAGGAAAAACAAAACUGUCACCAUUACAGGACACCAAACCAGCCAAGACAUGAUGAAAGACAUGGCAAGAUUCAUACAGGGAAUUAGAGCAAUCUGAGCCAUUUUCUAGAACUUUCUCAAUUUUAAUUGGGCUUAUUUAAAAUUCAGUUAUCCACUUUGGUGUACAUGAAAUAAAAUCUAAAAUAUCACCAAGACUUACUGUACUUACAAUUAGUGACAGCUCGUGAACAAAUACAGUUUCUAGUAAUAUUGUAUAUAAAGCAAUGCUAUAUAUACAGAUCUGGAACCCCCAGUGCUGGGUUCUUUGCCUACCUUUCUAUAAUUAGCUGUGUUAUCUUCAUUAAUGAAUGUGACCUUCCUGUCAGAUAUGUUGCUUAGCUCUAACACAAUUGAUUUUAUUGUGAUACAAAAACAAUAUGUUUUGGUUAUGCAAUCACUCACUGACUUCUAUGAAAUAGGUCUUAGUAAGUGGAGGGUCUGUUGUUAGCCAAGGGAAUGACAAGUGUGACCACUAGGUUUGGCACAGCUGGGCCAAGACUGCGUAAUUAAGGGAAAGAGAUUGAGAAGCCCCAGAGACAGGAUUCUGGGAAGGGAAGCAGGAACCAUUACAGCUAAGUGGUAGCGGUGAAAAAGCAGAUAAGAAAGUAGAGAAGAAGACCCAAGAGCUAUAAGGCUAAGAAAAGAAACUUGGAGGGAAAUGCUGUGUUCUACAAACCCUCUCUUUUUCCUCCAAUUCUAAACUGUCAAUAAACUAUACACUCUUCAGUAAUGCCUUGGUGCAAGUGGAUUCUUUAUUUUGAAGGUAAAGUGAUUAAAUCCAGUUUCAGAGGCUGACUCAUGGGUUAAAAA
rnacentral:lncRNA from 1 species